AGAGUUUGAUCAUGGCUCAGAUUGAACGCUGGCGGCAGGCCUAACACAUGCAAGUCGAACGGUAACAGGAAACAGCUUGCUGUUUCGCUGACGAGUGGCGGACGGGUGAGUAAUGUCUGGGAAACUGCCUGAUGGAGGGGGAUAACUACUGGAAACGGUAGCUAAUACCGCAUAACGUCGCAAGACCAAAGAGGGGGACCCUCGGGCCUCUUGCCAUCGGAUGUGCCCAGAUGGGAUUAGCUUGUUGGUGGGGUAACGGCUCACCAAGGCGACGAUCCCUAGCUGGUCUGAGAGGAUGACCAGCCACACUGAACUGAGACACGGUCCAGACUCCUACGGGAGGCAGCAGUGGGGAAUAUUGCACAAUGGGCGCAAGCCUGAUGCAGCCAUGCCGCGUGUAUGAAGAAGGCCUUCGGGUUGUAAAGUACUUUCAGCGGGGAGGAAGGGAGUAAAGUUAAUACCUUUGCUCAUUGACGUUACCCGCAGAAGAAGCACCGGCUAACUCCGUGCCAGCAGCCGCGGUAAUACGGAGGGUGCAAGCGUUAAUCGGAAUUACUGGGCGUAAAGCGCACGCAGGCGGUUUGUUAAGUCAGAUGUGAAAUCCCCGGGCUCAACCUGGGAACUGCAUCUGAUACUGGCAAGCUUGAGUCUCGUAGAGGGGGGUAGAAUUCCAGGUGUAGCGGUGAAAUGCGUAGAGAUCUGGAGGAAUACCGGUGGCGAAGGCGGCCCCCUGGACGAAGACUGACGCUCAGGUGCGAAAGCGUGGGGAGCAAACAGGAUUAGAUACCCUGGUAGUCCACGCCGUAAACGAUGUCGACUUGGAGGUUGUGCCCUUGAGGCGUGGCUUCCGGAGCUAACGCGUUAAGUCGACCGCCUGGGGAGUACGGCCGCAAGGUUAAAACUCAAAUGAAUUGACGGGGGCCCGCACAAGCGGUGGAGCAUGUGGUUUAAUUCGAUGCAACGCGAAGAACCUUACCUGGUCUUGGCAUCCACGGAAGUUUUCAGAGAUGAGAAUGUGCCUUCGGGAACCGUGAGACAGGUGCUGCAUGGCUGUCGUCAGCUCGUGUUGUGAAAUGUUGGGUUAAGUCCCGCAACGAGCGCAACCCUUAUCCUUUGUUGCCAGCGGUCCGGCCGGGAACUCAAAGGAGACUGCCAGUGAUAAACUGGAGGAAGGUGGGGAUGACGUCAAGUCAUCAUGGCCCUUACGACCAGGGCUACACACGUGCUACAAUGGCGCAUACAAAGAGAAGCGACCUCGCGAGAGCAAGCGGACCUCAUAAAGUGCGUCGUAGUCCGGAUUGGAGUCUGCAACUCGACUCCAUGAAGUCGGAAUCGCUAGUAAUCGUGGAUCAGAAUGCCACGGUGAAUACGUUCCCGGGCCUUGUACACACCGCCCGUCACACCAUGGGAGUGGGUUGCAAAAGAAGUAGGUAGCUUAACCUUCGGGAGGGCGCUUACCACUUUGUGAUUCAUGACUGGGGUGAAGUCGUAACAAGGUAACCGUAGGGAACCUGCGGUUG
rnacentral:rRNA from 1 species